UAUUUACUAGUUUAUGAACAUUGUCUGUUGUGCAUCUACUUUUUUCAACACUGGCAUUAGAAAACUUAGUCAUGAAUUUUCUUACAGAUGCUUAUAACAGCACUGUACAUUUCUUCUCAAAUACUUAUGAUAAUAUUAAGCAUUCAUUGUUCACAAGCCCUAAGAGCACCAUGCGCGAGGAUGACGCGGCCUUUGAAGAAACUGCAACGCCAUUCAAUAUUCAUCAGAUAGAGUUUCAUGUAACAGCAAGACCCUUGGAAAAAGAUCCUUCAUUAUUUAUUAAGGAUGUUUCGGAGACUCCGGAUCAAUCUUCCUCUUUAGAUGGAAUUAUCAAGAAUUUAUUAAGUAGUUUUUCUGGAGGUUUUGAUAAUGAAAAUACAGAGGAUUUCAUAUCCGAAAUUUUAGAUUCUUCUACUGAAACUAUUUUAGAUAUUCCUGAUAAAAAUGGGCAUACGUUUAUAAAGGUUAUUGAAGAUAGUACCGGACGAACCAUUGAAUUUUUGCACGAUUCCCAAACUGAAAUUACUCCAGCUACUAAAAAAAUUCCAAACGCUGUUACAAAUAUCUUGAAUUCGACUAACACCUCGACUUUUAUAAAUAAGGAGCCUGAACACAGUGAUGAGUACUAUGUAAAUACUUAUAUUAUUAGUAUUUGGUGGUUCAGAAAAAAUCGUUUAAGAGCUGAAAAAAGAAAUGCAUAUCCUGUUUUGUCAGUAGCCAAUGGAGAAUAUAUGGAUCCGAGUAUAUAUAAGAAUAGUGAGAAAUGCAAGAACAUUGCAUAGACAAAUAUUACAUUCUAAACAAUAUAGGUUCAUAGUUUUCCUUUUGGUGAAUUUCUUAUUGUGUUAGUUAAAAAAACACUACUAUGCUUAUUACUUAUAUAUUAUUACAGUUUAAUUAUGAAAUAUUCAUGUGGUUAAUUAUACGUUUAUAUUUGUAUUUGAAUGCGUAGGAAAUUAGGUAAUAAAGGUGGCUUGUCAAUACACAUUUCAAAUAAAUUAUUUAUAUGAAUUAUUAA